rnacentral:lncRNA from 1 species
ACCUCUCUGGACCGUCUGAUACCCCCGCCGGACCUCUCUGGACCGUCUGAUACCCCCGCCGGACCUCUCUGGACCGUCUGAUAGCCCCUCCGGACCUCUCUGGACCGUCUGAUAGCCCCGCCGGACCUCUCUGGACCGUUGGACACAUCAUGGUGGUUUCUGUGUCACCCCUGGACUGAUAGGAUGGGGUGUGACCUGUGACUUACGUAAUGGAGAACAGCUGUACCCCCCAUUCACACUACAGGGGGUCUCCUGAAGUCCCUGUCUCUCUGUCCUUAGCCAUGCUGGAAGCCCUUUUUCUAUCUCCACUCCACUGACAGGGAGAUCAGUAUCUUGGUCUGUCUGUCCUCACAGAGAGACUGGGGCUGAAUAUGGGUCUGUCCUCACAGAGAGACUGGGGCUGAAUAUGGGUCUGUCCACACAGAGAGACUAGGGCUGAAUAUGGGUCUGUCCACACAGAGAGACUAGGGCUGAAUAUGGGUCAGUCCUCCUCACAGAGAGACUGGGGCUGAAUAUGGGUCAGUCCACACAGAGAGACUGGGGCUGAAUAUGGGUCUGUCCACACAGAGAGACUAGGGCUGAAUAUGGGUCAGUCCUCCUCACAGAGAGACUGGGGCUGAAUAUGGGUCAGUCCUCCACACAGAGAGACUAGGGCUGAAUAUGGGUCAGUCCUCCACACAGAGAGACUGGGGCUGAAUAUGGGUCAGUCCUCACAGAGAGACUAGGGCUGAAUAUGGGUCUGUCCACACAGAGAGACUAGGGCUGAAUAUGGGUCUGUCCACACAGAGAGACUAGGGCUGAAUAUGGGUCAGUCCACACAGAGAGACUAGGGCUGAAUAUGGGUCUGUCCACACAGAGAGACUAGGGCUGAAUAUGGGUCUGUCCACACAGAGAGACUAGGGCUGAAUAUGGGUCUGUCCACACAGAGAGACUAGGGCUGAAUAUGGGUCUGUCCACACAGAGAGACUAGGGCUGAAUAUGGGUCAGUCCUCCACACAGAGAGACUAGGGCUGAAUAUGGGUCUGUCCACACAGAGAGACUAGGGCUGAAUAUGGGUCUGUCCUCACAGAGAGACUGGGGCUGAAUAUGGGUCUGUCCACACAGAGAGACUGGGGCUGAAUAUGGGUCUGUCCACACAGAGAGACUAGGGCUGAAUAUGGGUCAGUCCUCCACACAGAGAGACUGGGGCUGAAUAUGGGUCAGUCCUCACAGAGAGACUAGGGCUGAAUAUGGGUCAGUCCUCCACACAGAGAGACUAGGGCUGAAUAUGGGUCAGUCCUCACAGAGAGACUAGGGCUGAAUAUGGGUCUGUCCACACAGAGAGACUAGGGCUGAAUAUGGGUCAGUCCUCCACACAGAGAGACUGGGGCUGAAUAUGGGUCUGUCCUCACAGAGAGACUAGGGCUGAAUAUGGGUCUGUCCACACAGAGAGACUAGGGCUGAAUAUGGGUCAGUCCUCCACACAGAGAGACUGGGGCUGAAUAUGGGUCUGUCCUCACAGAGAGACUAGGGCUGAAUAUGGGUCAGUCCUCCACACAGAGAGACUAGGGCUGAAUAUGGGUCAGUCCUCACAGAGAGACUAGGGCUGAAUAUGGGUCUGUCCUCACAGAGAGACUAGGGCUGAAUAUGGGUCAGUCCUCCACACAGAGAGACUGGGGCUGAAUAUGGGUCUGUCCUCACAGAGAGACUAGGGCUGAAUAUGGGUCUGUCCACACAGAGAGACUAGGGCUGAAUAUGGGUCUGUCCUCACAGAGAGACUAGGGCUGAAUAUGGGUCUGUCCUCACAGAGAGACUAGGGCUGAAUAUGGGUCAGUCCUCCACACAGAGAGACUAGGGCUGAAUAUGGGUCAGUCCACACAGAGAGACUAGGGCUGAAUAUGGAUCAGUCCUCCACACAGAGAGACUAGGGCUGAAUAUGGGUCAGUCCACACAGAGAGACUAGGGCUGAAUAUGGAUCAGUCCUCCACACAGAGAGACUAGCCUGCCCUGUUCUGCCAUGAGCCCCAGUCAGCCAUUCAGUCAGCCAGCCAGCUUGCCAGCCGGCCAGUUAGCCAGCCAGCCAGCCAGUCAGCUAGCCAGCCAGUCAGCCAGCCAGCCAGCCAGUCAGCUAGCCAGCCAGUCAGCCAGCCAGUCAGCCAGCCAGCCAGCCAGCCAGUCAGUCAGCUAGCCAGUCAGCCAGCCAGCCAGUCAACCAGCCAGCCAGUCAGUCAGCCACACUGGAUACAUAUUGUACAUCUAUUAACUUGUUCUGCGUACUGGUGCAGUCUUAACCUGCUGUUCAAUGUCUGCAUGAGGAUGUGAACAGGGUCCGUUUGCUUUUUUUUUAUAACGAGCUCCUUUUCUGUCUGGCACAAUCUGAAGACACCGUGUUGUGGUCGGACGUUUUAAACAGGACUUGUCUAGGACACCCAAGGACAGACGGGACAAGGGGGAGAAAAUGACGUUCUGAGUUUAAGUCCAGGACUUGAACACUUCAGGCACCGAGGACAAACAGGUGACAGGGGAUGAAGACUGUGUUUUUUUUCAUCUAGUGUGGUUUUGUGGUGAUGCUUCUCAAGAAUCCCGACCGGAGCCUGGUCCUCCCUGCCUCUGGCCACAACCCAAGUGUACUGACUACUGAUAUUAAACAGCCUGGACAUAGAAGUCUAUAUCUACUGAACGCAGACGGUUCAGUGCUUUCUCUGCCCAGGCCUCGACGUACCCAACACCUGAACUAUGCCCCUGAUGCAACGGACUGAACAACGGGUUGAGCUGUGACCUGGACCAUGUUCGCUCAAAUGGGACAAAAACAUUUAAACGGGUGGGGAGAGGUACUAUCAGAAUUUAGCUGAAAAAUGUAUUUUUGUUGUUUCUUUGUAUUUUGUCUCAUUGGUUGUUUUUCCUCCUUGUUUAGGAGCUGCUACGGUGUUUCCCAGACCCCAAGUCCUGUUCCCCCCUUUACCAAUGUUUCCCAGACCCCAUGUCCUGUCCCCCCCUUUACCAAUGUUUCCCAUGUCCUGUCCCCCCCUUUACCAAUGUUUCCCAUGUCCUGUCCCCCCUUUACCAAUUGUUUCCCAUGUCCUGUCCCCCCCUUUACCAAUGUUUCCCAUGUCCUGUCCCCCCUUUACCAGUGUUUCCCAUACUUGGUCUUGGGCCCCCCUUUGGGUGGAUGUUUAGUUUCUGCCCCCAGCACAACACAGCUGAUUCAAGUAACCUACUGGUCAUGAAGCUUUGAUCAACUGAAUCAGCUGUGUAAUGUGGGGGGGCCCCAGGACCCAGUUUGGGAAACAUUGCUAACAGAAAGGAGCUUUAGCACCAAACUGCAAGAUCAUCUUUUUAAUUUGAUUUUAAUGAGGACUGAUGAUGAUGAUGAUGAUGAUGAUGAUGGACUGAAUGAAAUGCUGAUGUCUUACUGUACCCUCGUUUCCACCCCCCACCACAACCCCCUGUCUUACUGUACCCUCGUUUCCACCCCCCCAACCCCCUGUCUUACUGUACCCUCGUUUCCACCCCCCCACCACAACCCCGUCUUACUGUACCCUCGUUUCCACCCCCCCACCACAACCCCCUGUCUUACUGUACCCUCGUUUCCACCCCCCCCACCACCACAACCCCCUGUCUUACUGUACCCUCAUUUUCACCCCCCCACCACAACCCCUGUGUUACUGUACCCUCGUUUCCACCCCCCCACCACAACCCCCUGUCUUACUGUACCCUCGUUUUCACCCCCCCACCACAACCCCCUGUCUUACUGUACCCUCGUUUCCACCCCCCCACCACAACCCCCUGUCUUACUGUACCCUCGUUUCCACCCCCCACCACAACCCCCGUCUUACUGUACCCCCCCUACCACAACCCCCUGUCUUACUGUACCCUCGUUUCCACCCCCCAACCCCCUGUCUUACUGUACCCUCGUUUCCCCCCACAACCCCCUGUCUUACUGUACCCUCGUUUCCACCUUGGUUGCGUCCCAAAUGCUGUUCCCUAAAUAGCCAGGGGACAUACCCAAAACAUUAAGAACACCUUCCUAAUAUUGACUUGGUGGAUUAUAUAUGACAUUUAAGCAGUCAGCUGUUGUAUUUAAACAUGUCCUUGUCCGAGACCUCUCAGUAUUGAGUUGGUGAGAAUAACAGGAUGUUUCUCUUCCGCUGCCCAUCAGAGACGAAUCGAGUCUGAGACGAGCUGCUCUUUAUGCUGAAUCAAGUCUUGAGACGAGCUGCUCUUUAUGCUGAAUCAAGUCUUGAGACGAGCUGCUCUUUAUGCUGAAUCAAGUCUUGAGACGAGCUGCUCUUUAUGCUGAAUCAAGUCUUGAGACGAG